rnacentral:rRNA from 1 species
UACGAAGGGGGCUAGCGUUGCUCGGAAUCACUGGGCGUAAAGGGCGCGUAGGCGGCCAAGUAAGUUGGGGGUGAAAGCCCGUGGCUCAACCACGGAAUUGCCUUCGAUACUGCUUGGCUUGAGACCGGAAGAGGUGAGUGGAACUGCGAGUGUAGAGGUGAAAUUCAUAGAUAUUCGCAAGAACACCAGUGGCGAAGGCGGCUCACUGGUCCGGAUCUGACGCUGAGGCGCGAAAGCGUGGGGAGCAAACAGG